AACGAACGCUGGCGGCAUGCCUAACACAUGCAAGUCGAACGAGACCUUCUGGUCUAGUUGCGCACGGGUGCGUAACGCGUUGGAACCUUCCCUUAGGUUCGGAAUCACUCCCCGAAAGGGGUUCUAAUACCGCCUAAUGUCUUCGGACCAAAGAUUUAUCGCCUUUGGAUGGGCCCGCGUUGGAUUAUCUCGUUGGUAGGGUAAAAGCCUACCACGGCGCCGAUCCAUAGCUGGUCUGAGAGGAUGAUCAGCCACACUGGGACUGAGACACGGCCCAGACUCAUACGGGAGGCAGCAGGGGGGAAUAUUGGACAAUGGGAGAAAGUCUGAGCCAGAAAUGCCGCGUGAGUGAUGAAGGCCUUAGGGUUGUAAAGCUCUUUUACCCGGGAUGAUAAUGACAGUACCGGGAGAAUAAGCGCCGGCUAACUCCGUG
rnacentral:rRNA from 1 species